GGCAGAUGGGCCUCUUGUAGGAGGCUGGGCAGGGAGCACUUGGAACCCUGACUCAGUGUCCCUCACUACCUCUGCUUCUGCCAUGUUCUGUGCAUUUGAGUGACCUUUGGGAUGACCCUGCAUUUUGCUUUCCUUCUGAAGUCACUCAUGCAGACCUGCUGCCUCUAGCUGUGGCCUCCCCUGCACCCAGCUCCCGGCUGCCUCAUCCCCCUCGUGUCCUGACCUCUUAGAGUUGUUCCCUGUCUCUGGUCCUCUGCCUCUUCUCCUGUCCCUGGGCUCCUCUCUAGUAUUUAAUUCCUUUUCCAUCCAGUUUGUUGGUCUUGCGCCCCACCCCCAGAUUCCUUCUCUGCCCUACAGCAGCUGAGGUGCUGAGAAAACAGGGCAUCUGAUCAUGAUGCUCCCCCACCCGAUAGCCACCGGUGUCUUCCCGCCACCUUCUGGUCCAAGCCCAGGUCCCUGACAGGGUUCAUGGGGGCCCGUGUCUGGCCCCUCCUGGUGCCCCUGGCUCCUGUCAUUCCACUUCCUUGCAUUCUGGUCGGGUCCAGGCGAACUGAACCAUCUCCAGCCCAGCCAGGGUGCUGACUCUUUGAAGUGCCCCUCCCACCCUUUCUCUUUCCAGCUAGCUUUGAGUGGUCUUUCAGAAAUCUUUCCCCCAUUGAGCCUCUCCCGAUCCUUGAUGCUCUGUGCUGCAUCCCUCUCUGCUCCUGCUGCCCCCAGAGCCGUCACUCCCUGUUUGGGGACCUCCCUGAGCUCCUGGAGAGCGUCUUGGCAGGCCUGGUACACAGAGCCGAGAGAUGGGACCAGUUCCUGGGAGAGACCUGAUCCGAGGAGCCCGUCUUCAGGUUGCUGGGAGACAGUACUAACUCCUGUGCAGCCAAGGGCAGCUUCAGGCACCCCACAGUUCCUCCCUGGAGCCCCCAGAGCCAUGUGGAGGAAGUGAUGGUGGUCAGGGUCACCCUGUCUUCACAGAUCAGCCAAGAGCCUUAGCUUAUGGUUAAUGGAGCCAGGACUUGAUCCCUCUUGAUCCCUCCUGUCCUUCCAGACCCCAGACUGGCUUCUCUGCCACCCACACACCUGCCCAGAUGCAGGGAUGCUCAGCUGGAGGCAGAGGGAGCAGAAGCCAGGUGAGCCCAGGAGGGGGCCUUACCCCAGGUACCCUGGACAGGUAGUCGGGAAGGUCCCUUCCCGCAGGGGUUCCUCCUCUGCACAGCCACCCCUCAUUUUCACAUUUGCCUGGGUGUGAAAACUCAGAUUUAGGCAUAAUGUCAAAUGGAGUUCCUUUUCCAUGAAAUCAUACCAUGGUCUUUCCAAACAGAAGCUUGGUCAACAGGAGGCCUGGGUCCAGGCCCCAGCCUCCACACCUGUCAGAUGGGGCUUACCCUUCUGCCCAGUCCUGAUGGCAGAGUUGAUGAGAGCCUCAAAAAUUUAGAAAUAGCUGAAAAAUAACAUUCUUGUCAAAAAUCAGUGGCUCUUCAGUGUCUCUUCUGUGGCUGGUCUCAAGCAAGUUUUUUUUUUUUUAAUAUUUAAUUGAUUUUAUUCUUUAAAUACAUGACAGUGGAAUGCAUUACAAUUCUUAUUACACAUAUAGAGCACAAUUUUUCAUAUCUCUGGUUGUAUAUAAAGUAUGUUCACACCAAUUUAUGUCUUCAUACAUGUACUUUGGAUAAUGAUAUCACAUUCCACCAUCAUUGCUAACCCCCUGUUCCCUCCCUUCCCCUCCCACCCCUCUGCCCUAUCUAGAGUUUGUCUAUUCCUCCCAUGCUCCCCCUCCCUACCCCAUUAUGGGUCAGUCACCUUGUAUCAGAGAAAAUAUUUGGCAUUUGUUUUUUUUGGAAUUGGCUAACUUCACUUAGCAUUAUCUUCUCCAACGCCAUCCAUUUACCUGCAAAUGCCAUGAUUUUAUUCUCUUUUAUUGCUGAGUAAUAUUCCAUUGUGUAUAUAUGUCACAUUUUUUUUUUAAUCCAUCCAUCUACUCAUGGGUAUCUAGGUUGGUUCCAGAGUUUAGCUAUUGUGGAUUAUGAAAAAAAUGUUCAUCAUCUCUAGCAAUUAGAGAAAUGCAAAUUAAAACUACUCUAAGAUACCAUCUCACUCCAGUCAGAAUGGCAGUUAUUAUGAAGACAAACAACAAUAAGUGUUGGUGAGGAUGCAGGGAAAAAGGCACACUCAUACAUUGCUGGUGGGACUGAAAUUUGGUGCAGCCAAUAUGGAAAGCAGUAUGGAGAUUCCUUGGAAAACUGGGAAUGGAACCACCAUUUGACCCAGCUAUCCCUCUCCUCGGUCUGUACCCAAAGGACUUAAAAACAUCAUACUACAGGGACACACUCAAGCAAGUUUUUAAAGUUUUAUUUGAAGUUCCUGUGUCAGGUGUGCACAGAUGCAGUGUGUAUGUGAGUGGUCAGAGGUGGGGGUGCAUUGGAGUGGUUAGCCCAGGCUAGGCUUGACGUCAGACCAGGAUUUGCCCAUGGGGGAACAGAACCACCUUCCCUGGUUUGUGCACAGUCCGUGGACCCUGAGGUUGGUCAUUGGCAAGGGCAUGAACUGGGGGUGCUCUGAAAAAGGAACCUCUGGUACAUCCAAGCCUGUGUGGCUGCGAGUCCCAGGAUGCCUGGGAGCAAGGCCCGCAGAGCAGGCCUGUGAGAGCCCUUCUCUUCAGGCCACCACAGGUUAUCAGGACAUGGUAAUCCAAACAAACGUGUUUUUAUUCCUUAGCUUAAAGAAAGUCCCAGCCUUGUCCUAGGGAAGGCCCACCCUUCUCUAGGAGGUAGAGGAGCAGACGGUUUGUUUGGGCUGGAUUAGGGCCAAGAACAAACUCUGCAGAUGGGGCAAUUUGGACCUUGGGAAAAGCUCCGUUGUCCCUGGUGAGUUAAUUUCACCAGCAGCUGAAUUCAGGAGGCUCCUAAGCAGCAAUCAGAAAAUGCGUCAAUUUCACAUCCUCUGUGAGAUUAAUUACCACGUGUGCAGCGCACCUGAGACAAACAGCUGCAGGGGCUAAAUAUAUCCAGGAGAGGAGAGGCCACGCCUCCGCUCAGCCUGCCUUGGGAGGGGUGCUUUGACCUCACUUCUGAAGCCCACCUGCCUGCUUCGCUGCCGUGAGGCACAGGUAAGCUCCUGGACCCCCAGGCAGUGGCAGCCUGGAUAGCAGGAGCCACCUCCUCCUGUCCUCCAUUUUUUUAGUCUGCACCCCCUACCCAUUUCACAGAAAAGGAAACUGAGUCACUCAGAAUCUGUUCUCUGAAUUUUCCUGCCCUGCUUACAGACAGAUGGUAUCCUCACGUGCCCUUUCCCACUCAGUGUCUCUGGAUGACCAGAGCAGGGACCCAGAGCCCCACAGUUGAAUUCCUCCACACAGUAGCCCGGGAACUGCUUGUAAAUGGCCUGUGGGUGGAGAAGGAGUGAUCUUGUUAAUACAAGUUCUCAGCAUCGCCUCGGCCCGGAAACCUGCCUGGGGGAUCCUGGCCCUGCCAAAUGGCCUCUGCGAUCUUGGCCAUAUUUUAUGUCUAACUCAAAAAUCCAAUUAUCAAGAUUACUCAUCCCGUCUCCUGAGGAGGCCAGGCUCUGCCUCAGGGCCAGGCUGUUUACCUUUGGCCGCAGUGGGGCCUUCCCAGCUAGCUUUGCUGCUUGCCAGGGGGCUGGCUGUGGGCAGAUCCGGAGACUCAGGGGUCUUGUCCUGGGCGUAAGGAGGUGCCUGAAAAGACUAAGCCUCAGUUUCCUCAUCUGCAAGGUCACGAGAUGGGGAAAGCUAAAGAGACAGAAUGACCCCAGGUGAGGCCCAAACGUCAGCCCAGGCCUGGGGGUUUGUUCCUGAGGGUCCUGCAUUCAGCCAGUACCUCCUCCUCCCUUACUCUCUGCAUCCUGUCUGACAUCAGUGUCACUUCACCUCCCAAAGCCAUUGCUUCAUCCAGGUGGCCAUCAGUUCCCACCUGGACCACUUACUGCAACAGUAAGACUUCCCCACUUGCACCCCUACCCUCUCCAGAUGUGCCCCAGGCCACAGCCAGAGCAGAUCUGCAGUGCAGAGCCCCCACUUACCUGGUGCCAAGUGUGGAACGCUUCCUCACCUGGAGUGGUGCAGGCCCUCAGGCCCGGCUGCUGCCCUCUGCUUUCCCCUCAGGCACAGGGCGGCUGCAUGCUGCCCCUGCCCGGCACCUCCCUGGCACCUCUCACCCUGGCUUCUCGAGCUGGUGGCUCCUAGUUAUGUUCCAGAGCCCAGUCCUUAGUCUCCCCAGUCAGAAGCGGCAGUGAUGCUGAUGUUCGGUGCCUGCUGAAUCUGCCUCACUGGCAUUUGGCUACCAUGUGACUUUGAAUCGUGCAUUUGAGGAGGAUUUGGGCCGGUUACGCCUCUUCCUGUCACUAGCCUGAAGUUCUGGAAGGCCCCAGACCUAGUGUGACUAGCUCCCCCCCCCCCCCCCAGACCUGGUGCCUGGCCCAGGGCCAGCAAAUAUGCUCACUCACCUGUGUUCUCAGCUGCUCCCACCCCCAGAAGAGCUGGAGCUGGUGGGCAAGAGACAAAUAAUGGUGCUAAGGGGGAUACUUGUCCUGGGGUCCCAUGAGCAGGUAGUAUUGGGAAUAUUACCACGUGCUCUUCCUGCCGGCUCUGUGGGGACGGUACUGCCUUUUUCAGAUGAAAGAGGCACAGAGCCACCUACCUGCCCAAUGUCACAGGGCCAGAGGCUGGGAGCUGCAUUCCAGCGGAGCCUGCGGGUGCCCCCUGUCCGCCUUGGGCUCGAGGGCUGAGCUGCACAGAUGUACCGAUCGCACUUGCAGAUCGUCAGCUUCGGCAUCUGCCCGCUCAGAGGCUCCUGCCAGGGACCCAAAGCCCAGCCCUGGCCCUGGCUUGGCCCAUUUCUGCCCCUCUAACUCACUAUCUUCAGCCUCUCUGUCCUUAGCUUCCCUGUCCAUUGGCAGUGUCCAUGUUGACCCAUCUCCUGACCCAGAGGCAGCCCUGGGCAUGGCAGGCCCCUCCCCUGGAUCACUGUUGCCGGCUGCAGUGGUCCCCAGCACCUUGGAUCACUGUUGCCGGCUGCAGUGGUCCCCAGCACCUUCCCUCAAGAUCUGUCACCAGCAUCCUGUUAGCUGGCGUUCACACUGGAGCUUAAUUACAUGUUUGCAGGCUUGAAAAGACACUAUUUGUAUUAAUGCCACUUUCUCCUCAACAGAACAAUGUGUGGUCCCAGUUCAGUUGGGGCAGUGGAUGACAGGGCUGGCAGGCACAGGGAAACAGAAGAACAAGGUCAUCCCAGACUCCUUGUCCUCAGCUGAAAUGACAUUGGGGUCAGAGACCAAAGACAUAAGUGACCAGGCCACAGAGCUCUCUGAGAGUGGGGCCAAUGGCUGGGAGCCCAGCUAGAACCCGUGUGUGAGAGAAGCCUGAGGGGGUGGGGGGGGUACUCAGCAUAGGAAGGAAUUUGAAGACCUCGGUGUCAAGUUCAUUUCCAGCACCUACCUUCUCCCAAGUGCCAGGUCCAGUGUGUGCCCUGAGGCUCCUCGUUGGGUGUCGGGGAGCCAGACGGGGAGGCAGGCCCUCAGUUAACUGGCUCUAUCAUGAUAAAUGAUCACCAGGGCCCUCAGGCACCCAGAAAAGGGACUCCUAACUGGCCUUGGAGGUGACAGGGAAGGUGCCCUAUGGUGACCCUAGGUGAGUGGAAAAGGCCACCUGGGGAGAGCAGGUGAAGAGGAGGGGGUGCUAGGUCGAGGAAAGAGCUGAGAAAGGCCCGCGCUCACUGCCGUGGAUCUGGCUGGGGUUUAGAAUCCACUCGGUCAUCCUGGCAGGACCUCAGGUGCCACCGUGGGGCAAGAGGACUUCAUCCAGGAGCAGCAGGGAAGAGACUAGAAAUGUGGUGUUUGAGCAAGGGGGCUGGGUGGGUGCUGUGAGGGUCAGGCCCACCCGUCCUCACCUGGGCAGGACUGGAAAUGAGGCUGCUCUGGGUUCAAGACACCUCGGAGGACAUGGGCCUGUUUACCCCCUGGGAUGGGGCCGAGGAUCAGGAUGGGGUCGGCUGCUGGCUUGUGGCUCAGUAGUGGUGUAACUGCGUUCACGGGGAGAGAGCAGUAGAGAUGGUGACCAAGCCAAGAUCAUCUUCGUGGUGGGCAGAACAGAAGGCGGCGGGUGGCAGGGGGGCUCGAGGGGGGGGGGCGGUGUUUGCACCGGCUGCCGGGGGGCUACGCUGGUGUGCUGCGGCUCUGCUGAGGUGCGCCGGGUUCACCUGGGGUUGGGGCUAAGAGUCAGCAUUCAUUCGUCUUUUGGGUGGUCGUGGGAAGCCAGCGGCACUUGUGUCUGGGAGGUGGAGCAAGGCCAGGGAGGAGGCAGAACAGAACAGGCUGGCUGGGUGAAGGACUCAUGGUCCCCAGGGCGGCUGACUGGUGGCCAUGGGCCUACUGGUGUCUCAGUGGCUGCAGGGAGGCUGCCAGCCAGAGGAACAGCCUCCACUCCCACAGCAAUGGGAACAGCAGCCUGGACGUGGCCUUCAGGGGACUUGCCUUGCUCAGGACUCCUGCUAAGAUACGGCCUCUGCGCCCUGCCCUCGAGUGACGUCCGGAGACACAGGGUAUCUGAGCAGCUCCAGGACGGCUGCUGCUCUGCCCUCUGGGAGUGCUCCGAGUGCCCCCAGACCCCACUUCCUCACCGUUAAGACAGGAUCAGGGCUGGGUAGCCGCACUGCCUUUCUCCUACCCAGACCUCCUUCCCUUCAUGUCCCCUCUACUCCAGGAAGCCUCCCUCCUCCCCAGGGAGCCCGUGCUCGCCGCUCCCUGCCUCUCACCAGCCCUGGGAGUCCUUUCCUUCCUUGCCUUCUCUCCCCUCUGUCCUCUCUCCCCCACUCCUAUUGCUCACAGCUUCUUGCCUGCAUCCAGGUAUGGGGGCCCUCUGGUUUCCCUGCCCUGUCCCCACCUGGUCUCUGCACAGCCAGGAUAUGCUCCAGCACCCCAAACCCGACCCUGUCACUCCCCUGUGUGUGAAUCCUCCCAGACCAGUCCCGUUCCUCCCACAUCCUGGCCUGUGGUGUCUGCUGGCCUUCCCUGCCCAUCCAUCUGGGCUUGUUUUUGUUGGUGUCCCCCUGCCUCGUCCAUGUGGUGCUGGACCUUGUCAUUCUCAUAGGCCCCCAAAGUCACCUUCUGCAUCUCUGGGCUUCGCACAUGUGUCUCCUGGUCUGAAAUGCUCACCUCGCACAUCCUCAUCCUGAUACCCACUGGUCCUAAAGACUCACCCUGGCAUCGUCUCUGAGCCUGCAUUCUCCAAACCUCAGUUUAUCCCCAUAUAAGAUGGCAGGCAUGGUGGCGCACGCCUGCAGUCCCAGCGGCCAGGAGGCUGAGACAGGACCAUCAAGAGUUCAAAGCCAGCCUCAGCAAAAGCAAGGCCCUAAGCAACUCCAUGAGACCCUGACUCUAAAUAAAAUACAAAAUAGGCCUGGGGAUGCGGCUCUGUGGGUGGUCCUUGGGUUCAUUUUGCGUGCUUCCCGCCCUCUGCCUGCUCAAAAAAAUGGGGCAUGAUCCCACUUUCCCCUUGUUACUGGAGAUUGACUUGGGGUUUCAGUCAACUGCAGGCAGCUAAGUUAGCUGAGACUAAAAGGUUUUAGACUAAAAGGUUUUAAUCUAUUCAUUAGUAGAUGUAUAGUCAGCUUUUUAUCACUCACCAAAUACCUGACAAGAAAACUCAGAGAAGGAAAAGUUUAUUUUGACUGGUGGUUUUGGAGCUGUAUCCCAAAGUCAGCCUAGCCCAUUGCUCUGGGUCCAGGUGAGGCAGAACAUCAUGGCGGAAGGGUGUGGUGGAAGAGCGCUGCUCCACUCACGGUGGCCAGGAAGCAGAGAGGGUAGGGGGCUGCAGAGAACAUGCCCCCUUCCAGGGCAUCCCCCAGUGAUCCACCUCCUCCAGCCACGCCCCACCUGCCUGCAGUCACCACCCGGUGGAUCCAUUCAGACUAGGAUGGGAGAGUUGGGUUACAGCUCUCAAGUUAUUUCUCCUCGGAACGUUCCUGCAUUAACACAGGAACUCUGGGGCAACCCCUCAGCCAAACCACAAUAAGUCCAAAUAAGAGAAGUGGAUCGUCUAUUCUAUCCAUGACCUGUCAGACUACUCUGGGAGCCUUGUGACCAUUUCUGGUGACUUGGCUUUAGGCUGAUGUCAACAAAGUAGAUUAUGUCAUUAAACGUAUUUUCCAUUCAUUAAACAUAUGCCAGAAAUUAUACAUAUAUUGUCACAUUUAAUUCUGUAAAAGUGUUAUGACCUCUGUAAAAUGAUGUGGCAGGCAGAACCAUGGACCCAAGAUGUCCGUGCUUGGAUCCCCAGGACCUGUGAUUAUGGCACUUCACUUGGCAAAAUGGAAUUGACACAGGUGAUGACAGUUACAAAUGGGAGAUAUUCCUCAACCCCGGUGGGAACAUUCAAAUCACAGAGUUCCUUAAAAAAGGAGACCUUUCGCAGUUGUGGUCAGAGAAUGGUGAGCUUUCAGGUUGGAUCAGGGAGCCAGGAGCUGGGGACACAGGUGACCUUGGGAAGCUGGGAAAGACUGAAAAACAGAUGAUCCCCUGGAGACCCCAGAAAAGAGCACAGUCCUGCUGACGCCUUGAUUUUCACCCAGGAGACCCAGGUCAGACUUGUGCUGUAGAGCUCUGGAAGUAAACUUGUGUCAUCUUAAGCCACUAAGCUGUGGUGACUUGUUAUGACAGCAGUGUGCCUUAAAUAGUCACUAUGAGCAUGAAUUUUAUGAUCCCAUGAAUUUAUAAAUGGUGUGUCCUGUGCUUGUAAAAGUAUAACUUCUUAAUGACAGGGGACCAUUGAAUAGACAGCAUGGGGGACAGUGAACUUCCUGUCCCUGGAGGCAUGGUUGACCUCACCAAGGUCACCUAGAUGGGCAGGUGCUUGGACAAGGGACCUCAAGAGCCUCCAGAGAUUAUAACCAGAAGCCAUGUGCCCAGGGCUGGAGGAGCCUGUGGUUCUCCCUGCCACGCGGGAGGCCUCUGUCACCACCCGCAGCGUCCGCCCCUCGGGAGCGUUAUUAUAUAUGGUAACAGGACUCCAUUACUUCAGAAUGCUUUGGUGUAAUGCAUUGAAGGAAUUAUUGAAAUGUGUAAUUACAGUGUGCAUUGUAAUAUAAAACAAGUCCAUUAUAUUCAUUUGAUGGAACUGUGCUCCAUAAUGUCUGUUCUAAUAUAAAAGAUUCCGCCAUUAGAGUGUUAUAUUGUGUGAUGAUAAUUGUC
rnacentral:lncRNA from 1 species